AAAACAGUGUUGAUUGGGAAAAGUAAUACUGUCUGCUGACAUUACAGAGAACCUGUUAUUCGGUGCGAAACAGGAUGAAAGCACAUUAUGAAAAUCACCCAGGAGCUGCCAGCCGAACACCUUUGUGGUAAGUAAGCAUGGCCGAGUGACAAUCGUUAUAUUGUCGGGCAUUGAACGCAGGAAAAAUCCUCCGGUGAUGUCUGUAAAAGAGGUCGUGUAUAACGGUGUAUGCGACAAUAAGAGUGGUACCGCAGAGUGAUUACACUUUGUCUCUUUC
rnacentral:ncRNA from 1 species